CAGUAGCCGCGGUAAUGCGAAGGGUGCAAGCGUUAAUCGGAAUUACUGGGCGUAAAGCGUGCGUAGGCGGUUUGUUAAGUCUGUUGUGAAAUCCCCGGGCUCAACCUGGGAAUGGCAAUGGAUACUGGCAAGCUAGAGUGUGUCAGAGGAUGGUGGAAUUCCCGGUGUAGCGGUGAAAUGCGUAGAGAUCGGGAGGAACAUCAGUGGCGAAGGCGGCCAUCUGGGACAACACUGACGCUGAGGCACAAAAGCGUGGGGAGCAAACAGGAUUAGAUACCCCCGUAGUCCCUGUCUCUUAUAC
rnacentral:rRNA from 1 species